rnacentral:rRNA from 1 species
CACGUAGGGCGCAAGCGUUGUCCGGAAUUAUUGGGCGUAAAGAGCUCGUAGGUGGUUUGUUACGUCUGCUGUGAAAACCUAGGGCUUAACCCUGGGCUUGCAGUGGAUACGGGCAGACUAGAGGUAGGUAGGGGAGAAUGGAAUUCCUGGUGUAGCGGUGAAAUGCGCAGAUAUCAGGAGGAACACCGGUGGCGAAGGCGGUGGUCUGGGCCGGUACUGACGCUGAGGAGCGAAAGCGUGGGGAGCGAACAGG